AUUUAUAUAGUUUAAUAAAACAUUACAUUUUCAUUGUAAAAUUAAGGAUACUUUUCUUUAUAAAUA
rnacentral:tRNA from 1 species